UGCAAGUCGAGCGCUACCUUCGGGUGGAGCGGCGGACGGGUUAGUAACGCGUGGGAAUAUACCCAGUUCUAAGGAAUAGCCACUGGAAACGGUGAGUAAUACCUUAUACGCCCUUCGGGGGAAAGAUUUAUCGGAAUUGGAUUAGCCCGCGUUAGAUUAGAUAGUUGGUGGGGUAAUGGCCUACCAAGUCUACGAUCUAUAGCUGGUUUGAGAGGAUGAUCAGCAACACUGGGACUGAGACACGGCCCAGACUCCUACGGGAGGCAGCAGUGGGGAAUCUUAGACAAUGGGCGCAAGCCUGAUCUAGCCAUGCCGCGUGAGUGAUGAAGGCCCUAGGGUCGUAAAGCUCUUUCAACUGUGAAGAUAAUGAUGGUAGCAGUAGAAGAAACCCCGGCUAACUCCGUGCCAGCAGCCGCGGUAAUACGGAGGGGGUUAGCGUUGUUCGGAAUUACUGGGCGUAAAGCGUACGUAGGCGGAUUAAUAAGUUAGAGGUGAAAUCCCAGGGCUCAACCCUGGAACUGCCUUUAAAACUGUUAGUCUUGAGAUCGAGAGAGGUGAGUGGAAUUCCAAGUGUAGAGGUGAAAUUCGUAGAUAUUUGGAGGAACACCAGUGGCGAAGGCGGCUCACUGGCUCGAUACUGACGCUGAGGUACGAAAGUGUGGGGAGCAAACAGGAUUAGAUACCCUGGUAGUCCACACCGUAAACGAUGAAUGCCAGACGUCAGCAAGCAUGCUUGUUGGUGUCACACCUAACGGAUUAAGCAUUCCGCCUGGGGAGUACGGUCGCAAGAUUAAAACUCAAAGGGAUUGACGGGGGCCCGCACAAGCGGUGGAGCAUGUGGUUUAAUUCGACGCAACGCGCAGAACCUUACCAACCCUUGACAUACUUGUCGCGGAUUCCAGAGAUGGAUUCCUUCAGUUCGGCUGGACAAUGUACAGGUGCUGCAUGGCUGUCGUCAGCUCGUGUCGUGAGGUGUUCGGUUAAGUCCGGCAACGAGCGCAACCCACGUCCUUAGUUACCAGCAUUUAGUUGGGUACCCUAAGGAGACUGCCGGUGAUAAGCCGGAGGAAGGUGUGGACGACGUCAAGUCAUCAUGGCCCUUACGGGUUGGGCUACACACGUGCUACAAUGGCAUCUACAGUGAGUUAAUCUCCAAAAGAUGUCUCAGUUCGGAUUGGGGUCUGCAACUCGACCCCAUGAAGUUGGAAUCGCUAGUAAUCGCGGAACAGCAUGCCGCGGUGAAUACGUUCCCGGGCCUUGUACACACCGCCCGUCACACCAUGGGAAUUGGGUCUACCCGAAGGUGGUGCGCCAACUAUUUAUAGGGGCAGCCAACCACGGUAG
rnacentral:rRNA from 1 species